AACAAAGUGGAAAGUCAGAGAGCAGGUUAAGAAUUGACAGAAAUUGGACGGAAAGUUUGGUCAUAGUACAACCCUUUGGCAGCAACUGUAAAUGACUGCCUCCACCACAGCCAUACGAAGAGGUAUCAAGACAAACUCCCUCAGGUUGGACUCGAGUGACAAGAAACACUGAGCAGCAACUAUCGUGUCGCCCAUCUUCCCCAUUAUCCCCUGGGUACUUUUACCUGUGAUCUCUCUUUACUGUUGUCAUUUUGUCUGGUUUGUCAAGUCAACCAGCGGUUUGUCUCUGCUCCUGCUUUUUCCUAGUUCUCUCUUUUUCUCGCCCUCCUGGUUUUCACUCUUGCCUGUUCUGACUCUGAGCCUGCCU
rnacentral:lncRNA from 1 species